rnacentral:rRNA from 1 species
UGGGGAAUAUUGCACAAUGGGCGAAAGCCUGAUGCAGCGACGCCGCGUGAGCGAAGAAGUAUUUCGGUAUGUAAAGCUCUAUCAGCAGGGAAGAAAAUGACGGUACCUGACUAAGAAGCCCCGGCUAACUACGUGCCAGCAGCCGCGGUAAUACGUAGGGGGCAAGCGUUAUCCGGAUUUACUGGGUGUAAAGGGAGCGUAGACGGAAAGGCAAGUCUGAUGUGAAAAUCCGGGGCUCAACCGCGGAACUGCAUUGGAAACUGUUUUUCUUGAGUGCCGGAGGGGUAAGCGGAAUUCCUAGUGUAGCGGUGAAAUGCGUAGAUAUUAGGAGGAACACCAGUGGCGAAGGCGGCUUACUGGACGGUAACUGACGUUGAGGCUCGAAAGCGUGGGGAGCAAACAGGAUUAGAUACCCUGGUAGU